CUUCCUAGAUCAUGGUAGAUCUAUAGUCAGUUUGGACGAAUAUAUCUGUAUCAAUCCAAGUUAUCUAUUCUUUAGAUAUCCCCUAAGAAAUUUCAAAAUUAGACAUUUUCUGUUUCUGUUUUACUUCUUUAUUUUUUUGACUUCUGACAAAUUAGUGCGGCUGCUCAAGCAAAUGCAUUAUGCCUGACUAUUAUGAAUCGAAUCAUAUGCCAAAAUCGCAUUGGUAUACGAUCAUCGCUCUGAUGGUCGUGCUAGUAGUCAUUUUCGUUAUCAUACUCUUCGUAAUGAUAAUCGGAGUGGCCAAAUAUAAAAGCGGUACCAAUGAAAACAGCAGUAGUAGUAGUAGUAAUCCCAAUGCCGUACGUACCACUACAACUUGGGGAGUUAAUCCAGGAGUUAUCGGUGGCGGCCCUGCUGAGAGCGGUGCAGGGCCGGGACUCCCACCGAAUCCGAUUGGAUGAAGAUGCCGGUGGUUUCAAUAAAAAUAAUGUAACAAAUACAUACUAAUUUCUGGAAAUAUUA